rnacentral:rRNA from 1 species
UUGGGAGUAUUGCACAAUGGGCGAAAGCCUGAUGCAGCGACGCCGCGUGAAGGAAGACGGCCUUCGGGUUGUAAACUUCUUUUUUAUGGGACGAUUGUGACGGUACCAUAAGAAUAAGGACCUGCUAACUACGUGCCAGCAGCAGCGGUAAUACGUAGGGUCCGAGCGUUGUCCGGAUUUAUUGGGCGUAAAGAGUAUGUAGGUGGUUUUUUAAGUCGGAUUUUAAAUUUCCAGGCUCAACUUGGACAUUGGAUCCGAUACUGAAAAGCUUUGAGGAUAGCAGGGGCAAGCGGAAUUAGUGGAGUAGCAGUGAAAUGCGUUGAUCUCACUAAGAACACCAAUGGCGAAGGCAGCUUGCUAGGUUAUCUCUGACACUGAGAUACGAAAGCGUGGGGAGCGAACGGG